rnacentral:rRNA from 1 species
UACAGAGGUCCCAAGCGUUGUUCGGAUUCACUGGGCGUAAAGGGUGCGCAGGUGGGUUGGCAAGUUUGAUGUGAAAGCCCCGGGCUUAACCCGGGAAUGGCAUUGAAUACUGCUGAUCUGGAGGAUUGGAGGGGGGACUGGAAUUCUUGGUGUAGCAGUGAAAUGCGUAAAUAUCAAGAGGAACACCAGUGGCGAAGGCGAGUCCCUGGACAAUACCUGACACUGAGGCACGAAAGCCAAGGGAGCAAACAGG